rnacentral:lncRNA from 1 species
GUUUUAUAUAUGGUGAUCCUUCUCAGCCAGGGGUGAUUUUGACCUAUGGGGGACUGAUAUGGUUUGGCUCUGUGUCCCUACCCAAAUCUCAUCUAGAAUUGUAAUCCCCAUGUUUACAGGGAGGGAGGCGAUUGGAUCACGGGGAUGGCUUCCCCCAUGCUCUUCUCAUGAUAGGGAAUUCUCACGAGAUCUGAUGGUUUUAAAACCUGCGCUCUUCUGCGCUCUCACUUCUCCCUCCUGCCGCCUUGUGAAGAAGGUGCCUGCUUCACCUUCCACCAUGAUUGUAAGUUUCCUGAGGCCUCCUCAGACAUGCAGAACUGUGAGUCAAUUAAACCUCUUUCCUUUUAUAAAGUACCCAGUCUCAGGAAGUUCCUUAUAGCAGUGUGAAAACGGACUAAUACAGGGACCCUUGCCAAUGUCUAGAGACAUUUUCAAUUGCCAUGACUUGGGAAAGGGGAGCGCUACUGGCAUCUAUCAGGUAGAGUAAGGGAGGCUGCUAAAUAUCCUACAAUGCACAGAAAAGUCCCCCACAACAGAUAUUAUUUGGCCCAAAAUGUCAGUGUUCUCAAGGUGGAGAACUGAUAGAGAGUACAGAUGGUGGUUCAUAUUUUAAGUCCACAAGUUACAGGAUAUCAAGAUGGAAUUGGGAUUGAACCAAAGAAGGUUGAAUAAUACCCAGAAAUGGGUGUGAUGACUGAGCUACUAUGUUCUCUUUUAAGGAGUGUGAUAUGGCUUGGAUCUGUGUCCCCACCGAAUCUCAUGUCGGAGGUGGGGCCUGGUGGAGGUGACUGGACCAGGUGGGUGAAGUUCUCAUGCAUGGGUUAGCGCCGUCCCCUCCAUGUUGUUCUCUUGUGAUAGUAAGUGAGUGAGAUCUGGUUGUUUAAAAGUGUGUAGCGCCUCUCCCUGCUCUCUCUUCCUCCUGCUCCAGUCCUGUGAAGAAGCCUGAUCCCACUUUGCCUUCCACCAUGAUUGUAAGUUCCCUGAGGCCUCCCCAGAAGCAGAUGCUGCCAUACUUCCUGUACAGCCUUCGGAAGCAUGAG